CCGCAGUAGUCAUGAUUUGAUCAAAAUAGCAACGCAAUGUCACUUAUUUUUAGACUUCAAACAGAGGAUGAAAAAAUAGUGACUUAUUUUAAUUUGGCACAAUAGCAUGUGUUAAUAUAUCUGGCUCUAUGAAAUGUCAUAUAGAAAGAUAAGAAGAUUAUCUCCUGCUACUAAACAUCGAAUUUCAGAUGCCGUGGACCAGCAGAACAAACUGUUUAUUUUCGAUAAUUGAAACAUUUGUAUUUUUUGCGAAAAUACUUAGUAUACCUAUAGCUAUAUAGGUCUUUCAACAGGCUUCUAUUGGGAUAGUGCAACAACAUAUAACUGCUAUUUUGAUCAUAAAUUUUAUGAAGAAAUAUGAAAAAAUAAAAUGAGCACGCAGAUCUUGUGUCUGUUCAAGCACGAUAUGAAUAAGGAAAAAACUUUAAUAAAAACCAGUUUCACAAGUGGCUUUUCUACCUCUUGCAACCAUAGGAGGACACAAAAAAAACUUUUUCUUAAAGAGAAAAUGAAAGAACUGCUUUUUUGGGUCUCUAUUCACAUGUAUUGGUCGAAUAAAUUGGUUAUAUGAAA